rnacentral:rRNA from 1 species
UGGCGAACGGGUGAGUAACACGUGAGUAACCUGCCCUUAACUCUGGGAUAAGCCUGGGAAACUGGGUCUAAUACCGGAUAGGAGCGUCCACCGCAUGGUGGGUGUUGGAAAGAUUUAUCGGUUUUGGAUGGACUCGCGGCCUAUCAGCUUGUUGGUGAGGUAAUGGCUCACCAAGGCGACGAUCCGUAGCUGGUCUGAGAGGAUGAUCAGCCACACUGGGACUGAGACACGGCCCAGACUCCUACGGGAGGCAGCAGUGGGGAAUAUUGCACAAUGGGCGCAAGCCUGAUGCAGCGACGCCGCGUGAGGGAUGACGGCCUUCGGGUUGUAAACCGCUUUCGCCUGUGACGAAGCGUGAGUGACGGUAAUGGGUAAAGAAGCACCGGCUAACUACGUGCCAGCAGCCGCGGUGAUACGUAGGGUGCGAGCGUUGUCCGGAUUUAUUGGGCGUAAAGGGCUCGUAGGUGGUUGAUCGCGUCGGAAGUGUAAUCUUGGGGCUUAACCCUGAGCGUGCUUUCGAUACGGGUUGACUUGAGGAAGGUAGGGGAGAAUGGAAUUCCUGGUGGAGCGGUGGAAUGCGCAGAUAUCAGGAGGAACACCGAUGGCGAAGGCAGGUCUCUGGGCUGUAACUGACGCUGAGGAGCGAAAGCAUGGGGAGCGAACAGGAUUAGAUACCCUGGUAGUCCAUGCCGUAAACGUUGGGCACUAGGUGUGGGGACCAUUCCACGGUUUCCGCGCCGCAGCUAACGCAUUAAGUGCCCCGCCUGGGGAGUACGGCCGCAAGGCUAAAACUCAAAGGAAUUGACGGGGACCCGCACAAGCGGUGGAUGAUGUGGAUUAAUUCGAUGCAACGCGAAAAACCUUACCUACCCUUGACAUGGCAGGAAUCCCUGAGAGAUCAGGGAGUGCUCGAAAGAGAACCUGCACACAGGUGCUGCAUGGCUGUCGU